UACGGAGGGGGCUAGCGUUGUUCGGAAUUACUGGGCGUAAAGCGUACGUAGGCGGCUUUGUAAGUUAGAGGUGAAAGCCCGAAGCUCAACUUCGGAAUUGCCUUUAAGACUGCAUCGCUAGAAUUGUGGAGAGGUAAGUGGAAUUCCGAGUGUAGAGGUGAAAUUCGUAGAUAUUCGGAAGAACACCAGUGGCGAAGGCGACUUACUGGACACAUAUUGACGCUGAGGUGCGAAAGCGUGGGGAGCAAACAGG
rnacentral:rRNA from 1 species